rnacentral:rRNA from 1 species
UACAGAGGUGGCAAGCGUUGUUCGGAAUUACUGGGCGUAAAGGGCGCGUAGGCGGCCUUCUAAGUCAGACGUGAAAUCCCCGGGCUCAACCCGGGAACUGCGUCCGAUACUGGUAGGCUUGAAUUCGGGAGAGGGAUGCGGAAUUCCAGGUGUAGCGGUGAAAUGCGUAGAUAUCUGGAGGAACACCGGUGGCGAAGGCGGCAUCCUGGACCGACAUUGACGCUGAGGCGCGAAAGCCAGGGGAGCAAACGGG